rnacentral:rRNA from 1 species
AUGCCAUGGGAAAGCUACAAAUUUGAAGAUGCAGUAUUAAUUAGAAAAUGUUUGGCAUAUGAGGAUAUUUAUACCUUUUUUCAAAUCUGGAAAUAUAAAAUUCAAAUGAUACAACAACUCAAGUCUUGGCUGAAAAAAUCACUAAAUAAAUAGCACAUCUAG